GAUGAACGCUAGCGGCAGGCUUAACACAUGCAAGUCGAGGGGUAUGGUUCUUCGGAACCAGAGACCGGCGCACGGGUGCGUAACGCGUAUGCAAUCUACCUUUCACAGAGGGAUAGCCCAGAGAAAUUUGGAUUAAUACCUCAUAGUAUUAUAGAAUGGCAUCAUUUUAUAAUUAAAGUCACAACGGUGAAAGAUGAGCA
rnacentral:rRNA from 1 species